rnacentral:tRNA from 1 species
GGGGGUAUAACUCAAACGGUAGGGUGCAUGCUUAGCGUGCAAGAGGCCCUGGGUUCAAUUCCCAGUACCCCAA